UAAACAUUUGUAUCACAGAUACCCACUAAGGGCUAGAGCAUAAAUAUUUCUCUUCACGCAACGCUACUGAUAUAAAUGAGUAUGGGGCACUGGGAGCCCUGCUGCUGGGGACAUACUACCAGAACAUGAGGAGUACAGCUGGUGUGCUUGUCUUUGCUGUUUGUAGGCGGUGAAAGAGGAGGAGGAUGAGGAGGAAGAGGAGAAGCGAGGUGAAGCGAAGGAGAGGGGAGAGAGGGAUGGCAUGGAUGAGAGCGGAUGGCGUGAGCGUCAGGAGGAGGUGUUGCGUGCGGAGCGACACACACACCAGCUGACGGUGGCGGCCCUGGAGGCGCGGGCUCAAGAGGACCUCCAGGCGGAGAGACAACGCCUGCACACCCAGAACAAGCUGCAGCUGGAGAAGCAAAAGGCUGAGCUGACCCAGCAGCACACAGAGUGGGUCAGGCAGGUCACACAGAGACACAUGCAGCAGAUUGAGGACCUGCAGGCUGAACUACGCACACACACGGAGAUGGUGGCGCUACAGCAGGACCUGAAGCAGCAAAAUCAGCAGCAGUCAUACGAGAGACAGCUGGACGAGAGCCGCAGCGAGGUGCAGGAGCUACGCCGGGAGAACGCAGAGCUGAAGGAGCGUCUCAGCGCACUGAUGGAGGAGAGAGAAAGAGACAGGGAGAGGGAGAGAGAGAGGGAGAGACGAGACGCCUCCGGCCCUGAGGAACACACGUACUCAAGGUGAGAGAGAAGUCAUCAUGUCAGAGGGGAGAGGGCGUCUAAGCAGGGACAGUAGGAGAGGGGGCAUAGAGAGAGAAGGGAGAGGGUGAAGACAAACAAUGGACUAGUUUAGACUAGGGCCGGAACAGAACGAUUCAUGCAGAAAGAGAAGAUUGAGACUGAGAGAGAGAGAGAGAGAGAGAGAGAGAGAGAGAGAGAGAGAGAGAAGAGCAAGGGGGAAUAUGGGAAGAAGGGCUCCAUUUCACUCGUGGAUG
rnacentral:lncRNA from 1 species